AUACGUAGGGGGCGAGCGUUGUCCGGAAUGAUUGGGCGUAAAGGGCGCGUAGGCGGCCUGGUAAGUCUGGAGUGAAAGUCCUGUUUUUAAGAUGGGAAUUGCUUUGGAUACUGUCGGGCUUGAGUGCAGGAGAGGUAAGUGGAAUUCCCAGUGUAGCGGUGAAAUGCGUAGAGAUUGGGAGGAACACCAGUGGCGAAGGCGACUUACUGGACUGUAACUGACGCUGAGGCGCGAAAGUGUGGGGAGCAAACAGGAUUAGAUACCCUGGUAGUCCACACUGUAAACGAUGAAUGCUAGGUGUAGGGGGUAUCGACCCCUUCUGUGCCGCAGUCAACACAAUAAGCAUUCCGCCUGGGGAGUACGGCCGCAAGGUUGAAACUCAAAUGAAUUGACGGGG
rnacentral:rRNA from 1 species